UGUAUAAGGUGCAAAAAACAAAUCCUCUUUUGCAACCCAGAACACGUUGAUCAGUAUGAGUUUUGAUACAUAUAAGCAGGAAUAGG